rnacentral:rRNA from 1 species
CCUACGGGAGGCAGCAGUGGGGAAUAUUGCACAAUGGGCGCAAGCCUGAUGCAGCCAUGCCGCGUGUGUGAAGAAGGCCUUCGGGUUGUAAAGCACUUUCAGCGGGGAGGAAGGCGGUGAGGUUAAUAACCUCAUCGAUUGACGUUACCCGCAGAAGAAGCACCGGCUAACUCCGUGCCAGCAGCCGCAGUAAUACGGAGGGUGCAAGCGUUAAUCGGAAUUACUGGGCGUAAAGCGCACGCAGGCGGUCUGUCAAGUCGGAUGUGAAAUCCCCGGGCUCAACCUGGGAACUGCAUUCGAAACUGGCAGGCUAGAGUCUUGUAGAGGGGGGUAGAAUUCCAGGUGUAGCGGUGAAAUGCGUAGAGAUCUGGAGGAAUACCGGUGGCGAAGGCGGCCCCCUGGACAAAGACUGACGCUCAGGUGCGAAAGCGUGGGGAGCAAACAGGAUUAGAUACCCUUGUAGUC